rnacentral:misc_RNA from 1 species
UCCCAUUCGACACGGGCAGUCCGCUUAAAGUGCUUUCCCGAAGGAAAGGGCAACUAAGCGCAGGGGUUUCGCUCGUUACGGGACUUAACCCAACAUCUCACGACACGAGCUGACGACAGCCAUGCAACACCUGAUGCCGGCUCCCCGAAGGGUCCUUCACCUUUCGGAUCGGUACCACCGGCACUUCAAGCCCGGGUAAGGUUCUUCGCGUUGCAUCGAAUUGAACCACAUGCUCCACCGCUUGUGCGAGCCCCCGUCAAUUCCUUUGAGUUUUAACCUUGCGGCCGUACUCCCCAGGCGGAGGACUUAAUGCGUUAGCUGCAGCAGAGAGAACCGAAAUCCCCUCCACUUAGUCCUCAUCGUUUACGGCUAGGACUAC